rnacentral:tRNA from 1 species
CCAUAACAAGGCAAAGAUAAAGAAGCCGAUUUUCAGUCCGAUGACAUCCAUCAAAUAGCCGGUGAUCGGCUGCGCA